GACUGGCUAUUCUAGAUUCAGAUGGUUGGUAUUUCAUCUUCUUGCAUGCUACUGCAUGUUCAUAAGAACCUGAUAAUGAUAUAUAAUAUAAAACUCUAGUCUUAAAUUUGUGUCCCCUUUUGUAGGCUCCUGUAAAUUAUGUUUCUCUUUAUUGUGUAAAACCAAUUUUGAGGGCGCUGUCCAUGGCAAUAUCUACAGUUUCAAUCCAUAUCUUUGGUGAUGUGCCUUCCUCACCACUUGUUGGCAUCCUGCAGGAUCAUAUUAAUGACUGGAGGAAAAUAGCACUUUGUUUAACAUCCAUUUUCUUUCUUGCUGCUAUAAUAUGAUUCAUAGAACACGUACUGAAGAAAUUGCUGGAUGUUGCCCAUGGGUUUCAAAUGUUAAUAGACCCUAAAGGAGUGCUGAAAUGGUGACCAUAUGCUACCUUGAGGGCUC